GAAUUCACUAGUGAUCCUACGGGAGGCAGCAGUCAUCAUGAUCGUGACGACCGGCGUGAUAACGAUCCAAUACUGCCUAUCCUUCCAGUCAAUGAAAAAAUCCCAAUCUCCCG
rnacentral:rRNA from 1 species